rnacentral:rRNA from 1 species
GGGAGCGGCCCCCAUAUAAGUGCCCGGGAACGGGCCGUCAUAGAGGGUGAGAAUCCCGUCUGGGAUGGGGUGCCCGCNCCCCUGUGANGCUCCUUCGACGANUCGAGUUGUUUGGGAAUGCNNGUCNGGGNGGGNGGUAAAUUUCAUCUGAGCUAAAUACUGGNCGGAGACCGAUAGCGCACAAGUAGAGUGAUCGAAAGAUGAAAAGCACUUUGAAAAGAGAGUUAAACAGCACGUGAAAUUGUUGAAAGGGAAGCGCUUGCGACCAGACUCGCCCGCGGGGUUCACCCGGCAUUCGUGCCGGUGUACUUCCCCGCGGGCGGGCCACCGUCGGUUUGGGCGGGCGGUCAAAGGCCCUCGGAAUGUAACCCCCCCCGGGGCGUCUUAUAGCCGAGGGUGCCAUGCGGCCAGCCCGGACCGAGGAACGCGCUUNGGCUCGGACGCUGGCAUAAUGNUCGUAAGCGAC